ACUCCUACGGGAGGCAGCAGUGGGGAAUUUUGGACAAUGGGCGAAAGCCUGAUCCAGCAAUGCCGCGUGAGUGAAGAAGGCCUUCGGGUUGUAAAGCUCUUUUGUCAGGGAAGAAACGGUGAGAGCUAAUAUCUCUUGCUAAUGACGGUACCUGAAGAAUAAGCACCGGCUAACUACGUGCCAGCAGCCGCGGUAAUACGUAGGGUGCAAGCGUUAAUCGGAAUUACUGGGCGUAAAGCGUGCGCAGGCGGUUUUGUAAGUCUGAUGUGAAAUCCCCGGGCUCAACCUGGGAAUUGCAUUGGAGACUGCAAGGCUAGAAUCUGGCAGAGGGGGGUAGAAUUCCACGUGUAGCAGUGAAAUGCGUAGAUAUGUGGAGGAACACCGAUGGCGAAGGCAGCCCCCUGGGUCAAGAUUGACGCUCAUGCACGAAAGCGUGGGGAGCAAACAGGAUUAGAAACCCGAGUAGUCC
rnacentral:rRNA from 1 species